rnacentral:rRNA from 1 species
GACGAACGCUGGCGGCGUGCUUAACACAUGCAAGUCGAACGGAAAGGCCCUGCUUUUGUGGGGUGCUCGAGUGGCGAACGGGUGAGUAACACGUGAGUAACCUGCCCUUGACUUUGGGAUAACUUCAGGAAACUGGGGCUAAUACCGGAUAGGAGCUCCUGCUGCAUGGUGGGGGUUGGAAAGUUUCGGCGGUUGGGGAUGGACUCGCGGCUUAUCAGCUUGUUGGUGGGGUAGUGGCUUACCAAGGCUUUGACGGGUAGCCGGCCUGAGAGGGUGACCGGCCACAUUGGGACUGAGAUACGGCCCAGACUCCUACGGGAGGCAGCAGUGGGAAAUAUUGCACAAUGGGCGGAAGCCUGAUGCAGCAGCGCCGCGUGCGGGAUGACGGCCUUCGGGUUGUAAACCGCUUUCGCCUGUGACGAAGCGUGAGUGACGGUAAUGGGUAAAGAAGCACCGGCUAACUACGUG